rnacentral:rRNA from 1 species
UACGAAGGGGGCUAGCGUUGCUCGGAAUUACUGGGCGUAAAGGGCGCGUAGGCGGCACUGUUAGUCAGGCGUGAAAGUCCUGGGCUCAACCUGGGAACUGCGCUUGAUACGGCAGAGCUAGAGGAUGGAAGAGGCUCGCGGAAUUCCCAGUGUAGAGGUGAAAUUCGUAGAUAUCGGGAGGAACACCGGUGGCGAAGGCGGCGACCUGGGUAGAUACUGACGCUGAGGUGCGAAAGCGUGGGGAGCAAACAGG